UUUAUGAUAAUUACAUCAAUAGAAACAAUUAUUGGUUCAUUUUGUUUAUUUUCUUUGGUUACAUCUUCUGACAUCAGACUCGGAUUUCUCUUGAACUGAAUUUUAAUGUGCGUAUUGUUAUGCGUUUACUUUACUACAUUGGUUAGAGGUAUAGGGGGAGGGUUGAGAUCUCACAAACAUGUUUAACCCCGCCGCAUUUUUGCGCCUGUCCCAAGUCAGGAGCCUCUGGCCUUUGUUAGUCUUGUAUUAUUUUAAUUUUAGUUUCUUGUGUACAAUUUGGAAAUUAGUUUGGCGUUCAUUAUCACUGGACUAGUAUAUAUUUGUUUAGGGGCCAGCUGAAGGACGCCUCCGGGUGCGUGAAUUUCUCGCUACAUUGAAGACCUGUUGGUGACCCUCUGCUGUUGUUUUUUAUUUGGUCGGGUUGUUGUCUCUUUGACACAUUCCCCAUUUCCAUUCUCAAUUUUAUUAAUGUCCGUAAAACAGCAAUCUUACAAUAAAAAGCAAAAAAAAUGAAAAAUGAAAAAAAUAAUACAAUAAAAAGUCUUUUUAAGGUACAAAAAACUUUGUAGUACCAUAAUUAUACUGAUAUGCUAUAUUUUGCUUCAUUUCUAAUAAAAUAUUAAAAAAAACUUUCCCAUUAUGUGGAAAAGUAUCUGCUUCUUUGUAUAUGUAAACGCAGUCAAAUGUUUAUUGUUAAUGAUCUUUUUUGUUAAAUACUAUGCAUCAGAGAUCAGGGAUAUUGUUUACCAAAUUAUUUUUUUCUUUUCAAAUCUGAAAAUAUUACAUUUUACAUUAUUUCAGUUAUUGCCAGACAGACAAAAAAAAUCAGAAAUUGGCAUAUUACUAUUAGUCAUUUCAAGUGAUAAAUUAUUAUUAAUAAGAAAAUGGGAGACUGACUAGUACCUUAUUUUACUGGUGUCCAUGACAAAUUAUUUAUUCAAACAAUUGGUAGACUGACUGGAUAAAUCAUUUAUUUAAACAAUUGGAAGACAACUGACUGGUUUCCUAUUAUUUCGUCUACACUAGAUACAAAUUAGAUCCUCACAAUAUUUCAUCAUAAGAUCUAGAACUGAAAAUCUUUCCCUGAAAAGCAGUCUUCCAACAAUUAGGUAAAUUAUCGAUUUUUUUAGGAAAAUAAAGAUACCUAAUUUUGUGCCAUUAUAUCAUUACAAGAAGUAGAUGAUUUAUUUUAAAACCAAAUGUUUGUUAUAAAAUGUUUUGCACCAAUCAGAGUUCUGUAUCUAUCUGACAUGUUGUUUCAUUACUUUAAUAUUGUUACUGUGAAUACAUUUAUUUAUUGAUCAUGAGAUACCAAUAUUCAUUAAUUUCUUUGGUAUUUUGUUUAUUUCUAUGUUGGCUUUUGCAAAUUCAUGCAAACAUUUUAUCACCAUCAACUAAAAUUGGUAUCAAUGUAAACAAAUAUAUCCACAGUAAUUCAUUUAUAAUACCAUUAACUCAUUCCAGGAAUGACUGUAAUAUUUGUAUGUCCAUGAAAACAUUACACCAACAAUGUGGUACACACUAAAUAAACUGUAGCAGGUUAUUUAAAAGUGUGCACUAUACUUUUAGUGUUAUUUCGAAAAGACAGAAAAAAUAAUACAACCAUUCCUUAAAAUAUAUAUCUAAAUUGCAUUUAAAGGAGUCAAUCAUGAAGAAAAAAACCCAUUGAUGACUGUUAUUUUUAUACGACCCCCAAAAAAUUUUGGGUUCGUAUAAUGGUAUGAUGUCAUCGUCUGCGUCGUCGUUGUCCGAAGACACUUUGGUUUCCGGAUAAUAACUUUAGUUUAAGUGAAUAGAUCUUAAUGAAAUUUUUUCAGAAGGUUCAAUACCACAAAAAGAAGGUUGGGAUUUAUUUUGGGGAUGAUGGUCCGAACCGUUUAGGAAUUAGGGGCCCAAAAGGGGCCAAAACAAGCAUUUUUUUUAGUUUCAGGAUAAUAACUUGUUUACCAGUAUUUCAAUUGCUCUGAAAGUAUACUGCAAUGUUUAAAAUCGCAAGUAGAAGGUUUGGAUUCAUUUAAGGGGUUAUGGGGCCAAAGUUUAGGAAUUAAGGGCCAAAAAGGGGCCAAAACAAGCAUUUUUCUAGUUUCCAGACAAUACCUUGUGUGUAAUUGCAUGGAUCGCUCUGAAAUUGUACCACAAUGUACCAUAUAACAAAGGGGAGGCUGGGAUUAAUUUUUGGGUUAAUUGCCCAAAAUAUGUAGGAAUUAAGGGCCAAAAAAGGGCCAAAAAGAAGCAUGUUUCUAGUUUCCAAACAAUCAUGACAAUAACUUGUGUUAAAGUGUAUGGAUCUCUCUGAAAUCUUACUACAAGGUUCAAUAUUACAAAGGAAAGCAUGGGAUUGAGUUUAAGGGUCAUUGCUCCAAGGGGGGGUUUCAAUAAAUUGGGGGGGGGGAUCUCAGUUUACCAUUUUUUUAAGGGAUUUUUUUUUUUUUUCAACAUUUUUCAAAUUUCAAAUUUUGAAAAGUUUCAAUAAGAAAUAUUCAAUUGCACAGUAUUGUGCAAUAGAUGUGUUAGAUCUUGAACCACAUUAAUUUUGUGGCAAAAACCUAUAUUAUGUCAAAAAUUUGAUCACAAUCAAAAUUCAGACGGUAUCAAGCUGGAAUAUUGUGACCAAAUUUGCCCCAACUGUUCAAGGUUCGACCACUGGGGUCGUAUAAAGCUGCGCCCUGUGGAGCACCUGGUUUUCUAUGUGCUGAUUGACCUAAAAUUUAAGCCAAUCAUAAGACAUGUUACAUCCAAUAUUAAAUUAUUUGAUGACAAUUAUAAAAAUAUGUAAAGUAUGAAUGGUUAAAAAAUACUAAUAAAAUGUUGAGAGAAAAAAAAAACAAGAGAGCCUAAAAUCGUCUUUUGUCAGAAGUAGAUCUCCUACAUGUAUGUUGGAGGAUUAAAAGGUUGAGUUCUUUGCUGCUGUAUUAUGUUUUAAUCAAUUAUUACUUUAAACUGUGAUGUUUAUAUUUAUACUUUAUUUUUGUACAAAAAGCAA
rnacentral:lncRNA from 1 species